rnacentral:rRNA from 1 species
CAACUUGGAGGAACGUAUAGCUUCGGCUAGUUAUACUUGGCUGUUUAAUUUAUUAUUGAGAUUCAUUUAACUAACUUUCCCUGUUAUGUCUCUUGGGCAAUAGGUUAUUCAUUUUGACUUUUUUGUAUAUUAAUUCUUUUUUUAAUAAUUAUAAAACGCAUCCUUUGAUGCACACGUCAGUGAUUUUUGUCAAUUAAUUUGUCGCUGAUCGUAAGAUUUAACUAAUUUAUUAGUUCAGUGAACAGUAUAACAUCGAUUUUAUCGAAUAAAGUUCUAGAUAGUACUAUGAUCAUGACAAUUUACUAUCUAUAUGUCUUGACCAAAUUACGUGCCAGCAGUCGCGGCAAUACGUAGAAGACUAGUGUUAUUCAUCUUUAGUAGGUUUAAAGGGUACCUAGACGGUAUAAUUAGUCUUAAAUAAGAUACGGUUAUACUAGAGUUAUAUUUGAGGAGGUGAGUAUUCAUGGAGUAGAGUUGAAAUUCAUUGAUACCAUGAGGACUGGUAACGGCGAAAGCAAUCUCUUAUCUAUUAACUGACGUUGAGGGACGAAGGCUUGGGUAACGAACAGGAUUAGAUACCCUAGUAGUCCUUGCAGAAAAUUAUAAAUGCCAUAGAUUAGAUUUUUUUUAGUCUAUUAAUGAAAGUGUAAGCAUUUCACCUCAAGAGUAAUGUGGCAACGCAGAAACUGAAAUCAUUAGACCGUUUCUGAAACCA